GGCCCGGUGGCCUAAUGGUAAGGCGUCAGAUUUCGGUUUGGGGACACCAAGUUCGCUCAGUGGGCAACCACACGGGCUUGCUCCCCGGAGUUCGAUCCUCUGAAAAUUGCGGGUUCGAGUCCCGUCUGGGUCG
rfam:Microdochium bolleyi strain J235TASD1 unplaced genomic scaffold Micbo1qcscaffold_2, whole genome shotgun sequence.